ensembl:lncRNA
GCACCACAGAAAACAGUUUUUCGGCGAAAGAUUAACAGUUUAACAUAGCUGGACUGGCCAUCGAGCAUGGCGGAGCUUCCACGGCGGCUAGCAGGUGGAUGAGGGAAGGGUAGGCAGGAGGAGGAGAGACCCAAGGCAGCUGCCAGUCCGAGUGUCAGGAGAACUGAACUUCAGAUUUUGCUGUGUCGAGGAUUGAGGUGCGGGACAGAAGAGAACCACGAUACGGAGUGCAGCGUCUUCACUGAGGGCACUGGACAACUUCUCUUUCUCUCUUCUUCUCUUUCUGCUCUGCUCUUCUCUUCUCUUCUCUCGUCUCUCCUCUCCAAUGAUCAGGAUAUCACCCAAUCUCAAUGCAGACACCAAGUGUACAGGAUUCUGUAAGAUAAACACAACAACAACAACAACAACAACAGACCACACUGGGAUAAACUAUAUUUUGGAAAAAAAAUAAUUAUACAAG